UAACGAAUCUUCCGCAAUGCGCGAAAGCGUGACGGAGCAAUGCCGCGUGCAGGAUGAAGCCCCUCGGGGUGUAAACUGCUGUCAGGGGUUACCAAGUUCUGAGGAGCCCCAAAGGAAGGGCCGGCUAAUUUCGUGCCAGCAGCCGCGGUAAUACGAAAGGCCCAAGCGUUGCGCGGAAUCACUGGGCUUAAAGCGUACGUAGGCGGGCGCGCAGGCGCUUUGUGAAAUCCCUCGGCUCAACCGGGGAAUUGCUUGGCGAACCGCGUGUCUUGAGACAGGUAGGGGUUGUCGGAACGCUCGGUGGAGUGGUGAAAUGCGUUGAUAUCGAGCGGAACGCCGAAGGAGAAAUCAGGCAACUGGGCCUGUUCUGACGCUGAUGUACGAAAGCGUGGGGAGCGAACGGGAUUAGAUACCCCCGUAGUCC
rnacentral:rRNA from 1 species